rnacentral:rRNA from 1 species
AUUGAACGCUGGCGGCAUGCUUUACACAUGCAAGUCGAGCGGCAGCGCGGGGGCAACCCUGGCGGCGAGCGGCGAACGGGUGAGUAAUGCAUCGGAACGUAUCCUCGAGUGGGGGAUAACCCAGCGAAAGUUGGGCUAAUACCGCAUGAGCUCUGAGGAGGAAAGCGGGGGACCUGCGAGGGCCUCGCGCUGGAGGAGCGGCCGAUGUCCGAUUAGCUAGUUGGUGGGGUAAAGGCUUACCAAGGCGACGAUCGGUAGCUGGUCUGAGAGGAUGAUCAGCCACACUGGGACUGAGACACGGCCCAGACUCCUACGGGAGGCAGCAGUGGGGAAUUUUGGACAAUGGGGGCAACCCUGAUCCAGCCAUGCCGCGUGAGUGAAGAAGGCCUUCGGGUUGUAAAGCUCUUUCGGACGGAACGAAAUGGGCGGGACUAAUACUCCUGUCUGAUGACGGUACCGGAAGAAGAAGCACCGGCUAACUACGUG